UACGAAGGGUGCAAGCGUUACUCGGAAUUACUGGGCGUAAAGCGUGCGUAGGUGGUUUGUUAAGUCUGUUGUGAAAAGCCCCGGGCUCAACCUGGGAAUGGCAAUGGAUACUGGCAGGCUAGAGUGCGGUAGAGGGUAGUGGAAUUCCCGGUGUAGCGGUGAAAUGCGUAGAGAUCGGGAGGAACACCAGAGGCGAAGGCGGCGACCUGGACAAGUACUGACACUCAACUACGAAAGCGUGGGGAGCAAACAGG
rnacentral:rRNA from 1 species